rnacentral:rRNA from 1 species
UACAGAGGUGGCAAGCGUUGUUCGGAAUUACUGGGCGUAAAGGGCGCGUAGGCGGCCUCGCAAGUCCCGUGUGAAAUCCCUCGGCUCAACUGAGGAAUGGCACGGGAAACUGCGGGGCUUGAGUUCGGGAGAGGGAAGCGGAAUUCCGGGUGUAGCGGUGAAAUGCGUAGAUAUCUGGAGGAAUACCGGUGGCGAAGGCGGCAUCCUGGACCAUUACUGACGCUGAGGCGCGAAAGCUAGGGGAGCAAACGGG